rnacentral:rRNA from 1 species
AAAGGGUGUGUAGGCGGGUAUUUAAGUCAGUGGUGAAAUCUCCGAGCUCAACUCGGAAACUGCCAUUGAUACUAUUUAUCUUGAAUAUUGUUGAGGUAGGCGGAAUAUGUCAUGUAGCGGUGAAAUGCUUAGAUAUGACAUAGAACACCGAUUGCGAAGGCAGCUUGCUAAACAAUUAUUGACGCUGAGGCACGAAAGCGUGGGGAUCAAACAGGAUUAGAUACCCUUGU